GAGAAGAGACAACAGACUGAACAAUUCUUUUUUUUUUUUCAUACCUUUAAUGGUAUGAGUUGGAGGCCAUGAUCCAAGUCCUCACCACUUCCUAUUUUGGAUACUCACAUGCAAGACUUGAGAGUGAUUAGAAUGGAGUGCUUGGAGAAAUGUUUUGGCCAGGGAUUGGAAACUCAGAAAGAGGCAUAGAGAAAGUCAUGGACAGAAUGAAGACCAAAGUUGUGAGAAGGUGUUAGGUAGCCUAAGUACAUGAAUGCAACUGAAAUGUCUUUCACUUCUGGGUCUCAAGACAGUUUGUGA